rnacentral:rRNA from 1 species
GUUCGACUCCGCCUGAUUGAACGCUGGCGGGAUGCUUUACACAUGCAAGUCGAACGGCAGCACGGACUUCGGUCUGGUGGCGAGUGGCGAACGGGUGAGUAAUGUAUCGGAACGUGCCUAGUAGCGGGGAUAACUAUUGAAAGUAGCUAAUACCGCAUGUCAGUUCUUCUUCGGGGGAAAGCGGGGGACCUUCGGGCCUCGCACUAUUAGAGCGGCUGAUAUCGGAUUAGCUUAGUUGGUGGGGUAACGGCUCACCAAGGCGACGAUCCGUAGCUGGUUUGAGAGGACGACCAGCCACACUGGGACUGGAGACAUUGCCCAGACUCCUACGGGAGGCAGCAGUGGGGAAUUUUGGACAAUGGGGAAACUCCUGGAUCCAUUAUCCGCGUGCGAUGAAGGCCUUCGGGUUGGAAGACUUUGGCAGGAAAGAAAACGGCACGGGAUACUCGUGCAACUGACGGUACUUCCGCAGAAUAAGCACCGGCUAACUACGUGCCAGCAGCCGCGGUAAUACGGUGGGUGCAAGCGUUAAUCGGAAUUAUUGGGCGUAAAGCGUGCGCUGGCGGUUCGGAAAGAAAGAUGUGAACUUCAGAGCUUAACUUGGAACUGCAUUUUUAACUACUGAGCUUAGAGUGUGUCAGAGGGAGGGAAUUCCGCGUGUAGCAGUGAAAUGCGUAGAUAUGCGGAGGAACACCGAUGGCGAAGGUAAGCUUCCGGGAUAACACUGACGCUCAUGCACGAAAGCGUGGGAGCAACAGGAUUAGACUACCCUGUAACCACGCCCUAAACGAUGUCAACUAGCUACAAAUUUCGGGCCUUGGUAGCAGCUUAACGUGAAGUUGACCGCUCGGGAGUACGGUCGCAAGAUUAAAACUCAAAGGAAUUGACGGGGACCCGCACAAGCGGUGGAUGAUGUGGAUUAAUUCGAUGCAACGCGAAAAACCUUACCUACCCUUGACAUGUCUGGAAUCCCGAAGAGAUUUGGGAGUGUCGCAAGAGAACCGGAACACAGGUGCUGCAUGGCUGUCGUCAGCUCGUGUCGAGAUGUUGGGUUAAGUCCCGCAACGAGCGCAACCCUUGUCAUUAUUGCUACGAAAGGGCACUCUAUCGAGACUGCCGGUGACAAACCGGAGGAAGUGGGGGCGACGUCAUCCUCACCACCCACGCAGGGUGCCAGCUUCACACGUCACAAUGGUCGGGACAGAUAUCGCCAGUUCUUGAAGGGAGCUGACCAAGAACCCUGAUCGUAGUCCGGGUGAUCACCCGCAGUCUGCAACUCGACUGCGUGAAGUCGGAAUCGCUAGUAAUCGCGAUCAGCAUGUCGCGGUGAAUACGUUCCCGGGUCUUGUACACACUGCCCGUCACACCAUGGGAGUGGGUUUUACCAGAAGUAGUUAGCCUAACCGUAAGGAGGGCGAUUACCAUGGUAGGAUUCAUGACUGGGGUGAAGUCGUAACAAGGUAGCUCUAGCACGCCUGAUGC